rnacentral:pre_miRNA from 1 species
UCUUAUGCAUGAACAGAGGAAGUGGUUUCUUGAGAUGGAAUCUAUUCCUGGUGAAGAUGCUGUGAA